rnacentral:snoRNA from 1 species
AACCUCUGCAGAAGAAUCAUUUCUAUAGUAUUCGACCUCCUCUUGGUUCCCUAAAAGAGCCACAGAAUCCACCCUGGUUGAUGAUUGUAUAUCCUCGACACCCUAGAGUGAAAACUUUGGUCCUCUCGCUCUGUCCGCAAGGAUGGCGCUAGUGUGGCGCUUGCGCUGCGCUGCUGUAUAGAGAGAUGUUCCCGCACGGCUGUGGCAACACAGCUGGGAAACUUUGUUGAUGAUCUCGACCCUGUUCGUGGUUUUCGUCUUCGGGCGCCUGAGCAGGGUGGGUGUUGAUGGACGUCUGACAGGC